rnacentral:rRNA from 1 species
AUUGAACGCUGGCGGCAUGCCUAACACAUGCAAGUCGAACGAGUGGCGGACGGGUGAGUAGUGUCUGAGAAACUGCGUGAGGGAGGGAGAUAAGUGCUGUAAAACGUAGCUAAUACCGCAUACGAUCAGAUGUGCCCAGGUGGGAGUAGCUAGUUGGUGGGGAAACGGCACACCAAGGCGACGCUCCCUAGCUGGUCUGAGAGGAUGACCAGCCACACUGGAACUGAGACACGGUCCAGACUCCUACGGGAGGCAGCAGUGGGGAAUAUUGCACAAUGGGCGAAAGCCUGAUGCAGCCAUGCCGCGUGUAUGAAGAAGGCCUUCGGGUUGUAAAGUACUUUCAGCGGGGAGGCGUUACCCGCAGAAGAAGCACCGGCUAACUCCGUGCCAGCAGCCGCGGUAAUAC